rnacentral:rRNA from 1 species
CGAAGCCGGCUCCCGAAAGGGCCGAUGUCGAGGUGCUGCAUGGCUGUCGUCAGCUCGUGUCGUGAGAUGUUGGGUUAAGUCCCGCAACGAGCGCAACCCUUGUCCGCUGUUGCCAUCAGGUUAAGCUGGGCACUCUGCGGAGACUGCCGGUGAUAAACCGGAGGAAGGUGGGGAUGACGUCAAGUCAGCAUGGCCUUUAUGUCUGGAGCUACACACGUGCUACAAUGGCCGAUACAAACCGUCGCGAUACCGCAAGGUGGAGCUAAUCGGAGAAAGUCGGUCUCAGUUCGGGUUGCAGGCUGCAACUCGCCUGCAUGAAGUUGGAAUCGCUAGUAAUCGCGGAUCAGCACGCCGCGGUGAAUACGUUCCCGGGCCUUGUACACACCGCCCGUCACAUCACGAAAGCUGGCUGUACUAGAAGUAGCCGCGCUAACCCGCAAGGGAGGCAAGUUCCUAAGGUAUGGUCAGUGAUUGGGGUGAAGUCGUAACAAGGUAGCCGU